UGGGGCGUGGCCAAGCGGUAAGGCACGAGACUUUGGAUCUCGCACUCGGAGGUUCGAAUCCUCCCGCCCCAG
rnacentral:tRNA from 1 species